ACGUUGGAGGUGCGAAUGUGCUCC
rnacentral:siRNA from 1 species